rnacentral:rRNA from 1 species
AAGACCUUGCGCUUUUGGAGCGGCCGAUGCCUGAUUAGCUUGUUGGUAUGGUAAAAGCUUACCAAGGCUUCGAUCAGUAGCUGGUCUGAGAGGACGGCCAGCCACACUGGGACUGAGACACGGCCCAGACUCCUACGGGAGGCAGCAGUGGGGAAUUUUGGACAAUGGGGGCAACCCUGAUCCAGCCAUGCCGCGUGAGUGAAGAAGGCCUUCGGGUUGUAAAGCUCUUUCAGCCGGAACGAAACGGUUACGGUUAAUACCCGUGAUUACUGACGGUACCGGAAGAAGAAGCACCGGCUAACUACGUGCCAGCAGCCGCGGUAAUACGUAGGGUGCGAGCGUUAAUCGGAAUUACUGGGCGUAAAGCGUGCGCAGGUGGUUUUGUAAGUCAGAUGUGAAAGCCCCGGGCUCAACCUGGGAACU